GACGAACGCUGGCGGCGUGCCUAAUACAUGCAAGUCGAACGCAGUGGGGACGGGUGAGUAACACGUGGGUAACCUCCCAUCAGAGGGGAUAACACUUGGAAACAGGUGCUAAACCGAUACUGAUGGAUGGACCCGCGGUGCAUUAGCUAGUUGGUGAGGUAACGGCUCACCAAGGCCACGAUGCAUAGCGGACGUGAGAGGGUGAUCGGCCACACUGGGACUGAGACACGGCCCAGACUCCUACGGUGGGCAGCAGUAGGGAAUCUUCGGCAAUGGACGAAAGUCUGACCGGGCAACGCCGCGUGGGUGAAGAAGGUUUUCGGCUCGUAAAACUCUGUUGUUAGAGAAGCGGAAUCUAACAAGAAAGCCACGGCUAACUACGUGCAAGCAGCCGCGUAAUUC
rnacentral:rRNA from 1 species